rnacentral:rRNA from 1 species
UGCCAGCCGCCGCGGUAAUACGGGGGAUGCAAGCGUUAUCCGGAAUCAUUGGGCGUAAAGCGCCUGUAGGUUGUUUAAUAAGUCUGUUGUUAAAGACUAGGGCUUAACCCUAGGAAAGCAAUGGAAACUACUAGACUUGAGUAUGAUAGGGGUAGAGGGAAUUUCUAGUGUAGCGGUGAAAUGCGCAGAUAUCAGAAGGAAUACCAAUGGCGAAGGCAGCUCUCUGGCUCGUCACUGACGCUGAGGUGCGAAAGCGUGGGUAGCAAACAGGAUUAGAUA